GGUCGUGAGGACGUACGUGUCCUUUCCUUCGGGACAGGGGUGACAGGUGGUGCAUGGUUGUCGUCAGCUCGUGUCGUGAGAUGUUGGGUUAAGUCCCGCAACGAGCGCAACCCUUACCUUCAGUAGCCAGCACGUAAAGGUGGGCACUCUGGAGGGACUGCCAGGGACAACCUGGAGGAAGGUGGGGAUGACGUCAAAUCAUCAUGCCCCUUAUGGCUUGGGCUACACACGUGCUACAAUGGCGUAAACAAAGGGAAGCAGCCCUGUGAAGGUGAGCAAACCCCAAAAAUAACGUCCCAGUUCGGAUUGUAGUCUGCAACCCGACUACAUGAAGCUGGAAUCGCUAGUAAUCGCGAAUCAGCAUGUCGCGGUGAAUACGUUCCCGGGUCUUGUACACACCGA
rnacentral:rRNA from 1 species